GGUUCUGUAGUGUAGCGGUUAUCACUCAAGAUUCUGACCUUGCAGGCUGAAUUCUUGUAACCCCGGUUCGAAUCCGGGCAGGACCU